GUCAAAGCCUAAUGCAUUUCUCUGUGGUACCACAGGCUGCAUCUCUUUCAAAUUACAGUGCAGGCGGACCAGACAACAUUUUCUGAAUUAGCAUCUCCGGAACUCCUAUGCUCACACACACACACAGUACACAUCUAGAGUACAGCAAGGUAGCUGUCUGCUUUACCUAUGGACAUUAUCUGCACUUCACUUUGGAUUAGGGGAAAACUCUGAUUUUCUGCGAAGCACAGAAGCAGUAGAAGCAGGAGUUCCUGUGGAGAACCCAUUUUGGACACCUGCAUUCUUUUUUAAUUCUUUCCUUUUUUUUUUGUCCCUGUCUUUUGGAUAGCUAAUGGAUGAGGGGAUGCAAAAUUGGUCUUGAAGAAUAAGCUAAGUUUGUGGAGUUCUAUUGGAAAGCAAGAUGCACCCUUCCACAAAUAUGGAAAUGUAACUGGGAUCUUUGAUGGAUAUCGAUUUUAAAGAAAGACCACAGAAUGGGUAAAAGAGAGAUACAAAGCUUCAUCAGAUGGGUAUUGGUUCUCACUCUCUGCCUUUUAACCCUAUGGGGACGUAUCGCGGUAGCAUCAACACAUCACAGAAUCCACUCAGUUCAUGUGGAACCUGGCACAUGCGAAGUGAUCGCUGCUCACAGAUGCUGCAAUAAGAACAAGAUCGAGGAACGGUCACAGACAGUAAAAUGCUCCUGUUUCCCUGGACAAGUUGCAGGGACGACAAGAGCAGCUCCAUCAUGUGUAGAUGCUUCUAUAGUUGUCCAGAAAUGGUGGUGUCAAAUGCAGCCAUGUUUAGAAGGAGAAGACUGCAAAGUUCUACCAGACUUGACAGGAUGGAGUUGUAGUACUGGGAACAAAGUCAAAACAACGAAGUACCUAGAAAGUUAGCCCUGCUCACAAACUGAAGAUGACUGAUUUUAACACUUGGUUUGAAAGUUGAGAAGCACCCUGGACACAAAGUCUGAAGACACUGCAUGCAGAUGUGCUGUACUUAGUUUUAUGUGAACAAGCUGCAUCGUGGCACCUGUUAGCAUGUUUUGCAUCCAUAAACUUUGGCCAGUGAUGUCCCACCAUGAACCUGAUUUCAGAGAUUGCCUUUGACAUGGCACUGCACUUCAACAGAGGUGGUCUCUCACUUGGUCAUCCUCUUUGACCUUGCUCCAUAGAGCCAGCGUUGAUUAAUGCUCGAGCAAUGGAUGCUUUGAAAUCCAAAUGAUUGUUGUCAUUGAAUUCAGACAUUUGAUACAGCAGCCAUGCGUUUACACAAGUCACAUCAAGAAAGUGAAAGAACACCUGAACAUACGAUCUCCUGUUUUUGCAUGUGAGUGGGUACAUCGCAACACACACUGAUCCAUGAGAUUCACUCUCCCCAUGUGCAUGUAAUACCACUCUGUACCUAUCCCUGUUGCUAGAUACUUUUUUUUCAGUGUGUCUGGAGAAAAUAAAAACAAUCAUUUAGACUUGAAAAAAAAGGUAGGAUAACAUAUAAUGAUACAUAUGAGGCUUUUAGCUAUCAAAUCUGGCAUAUUUGGCUAUUAUAUGAGACAAUAUUUAGGUUAGGAUAAAGCUUGCAUGCAGUAUGGAUUUUUGUAUUGCACAACAGUCAUUGAAGUGGACAAAUGAUUUUAGAUCAAAUACUGUAUGAAAACUAAUAAAUUUAGUAUUCGAUCAUAACAUCUACCAUAUUAUGCCAUAAAUGUUACUUUCCUUGACUUUCUUUCUUCUUCUUUUUUUUACCUGCUCUGCAUUUUUUUGUAAAAAUAUUUUACAGAAAUCCCUGAAGUGCUUGGUGCUGGUGAACUUUUGUCAGCCAUUUUAUUUUGACUUUAUUCUUUUUGAUGGAAUGAAAAGCUCCCACUACCUUCUAAGUAUGCAAAGGUCCAAAAGAAGACCACAAUGCACCAAUGAUGUCAGAGGAGUUUCUAUAGGAGAUAAUGACAUAAAAACAGCUGUCCACUGCAGUGGCCUCUUUGCAUGAUAGGGUUAAAUAUAAGUUUCACUGGUUUGUAUUUGAAUAGUUUCAUUUAGUAGAUAAGCUUUUUGUCAUAUCAAAGCAUCAGUAUUAGGUUUUUUCAUAUCUACAUGACAAUAAUUGUUUAAAGUACAUAUAUAGCAGUUUCAGCACCAUGGAUAGCAUCUUUCAUAGAGUGUAUGUACUGUAGAAGUGAACAGUGUAUACAGCUACAGAUACAUUUAGUGUAAACUAAGUUUUGCGACAGAGCCCAAGGUACAGAUUGGUAAUUUAAAAUUUGAAGUCAACCACCCUCCAUGUUUGUACAGUGUGGUUGGGGUUAUGCUGGUUGGGGUAAUGUGGUUGGAGUUAUGCUGAUAACACUGUAAAAUAUACAAAUGCAUUAUAAUAUUUAGCAGAACAGUUUUUGAAAUGUUGCUUGUCUCCCUACAUUUAUACAUUUGCAAUGUCUGGUUGGACAGCCAUCAAACAGAUUAUACAUUAGGAAUACCCAAUUUCAAUUGUUAUUUUGGAAUUGCAUUGUAUACGUGUAUAUUUUAUUUUAUUUAUUUAUGCUUUAAACAUAUUGUAAUUGUAACCAUUUUUUAAUGUUAAACUGCUGCUUAGAAGAGUCUUAACAAUACCCACAGGUUACGCGAUAGUGUCUGGAGAACAUGCAGGGACUGUUAAAACAGUACAAAUGCUGUGACAGGCCAAAUCUACACACUGGCAUACUACUCCCUUUGCAGUGUAUCUUCCUUCCAAUAUGCGGAUACCACUGGAUAUUAGUCCGAUACUGACAUUCAAGAGGAGUACAUUAAUUCUGUUAAAAAUAAAAGUAACAACUUACCCCUUAAGAGGGGAGGAAUCUGCAAGAACCCAUAGACAAAUUUAUUGAAUAAUGGAACACAAGAAGACAUUUAAAAACAUGUUGGAAGUACUGUAUCAGAUAUAAAAAUAUGCGUACUUAACUGAGAUACACUAAAAAAACUGUUGAAUGCGAUGUAAGAACUCCCAUUUUAACCGUGUUAUUUUGGCAUUUUAAACUAUUAUUUUUUUCUUUGUUAUUAUUUGUAAGAAGAUAAAAAAGUUAUUCCUACCAUAUUGAUAUACAGUAUGACUUGGAAAUACUAUUUUUUACAGUCCUGUCAAAGUAUAGCUGAAAAAUGCUUACAUAGCAGUUAGCAGUCCAUUUAUUGUAAAGAUGAGAAACAAAGUAAUUUUUCAAGGCUGCAAAAAAGCCGCCAUUUGACUAGGCCUCACCUAAAGCAUGCCGCAGUUACUCUCCUUACACUGUGUAGAUUUCAGGCUGUGCGUAUUUUCAUGAUACGUAAUUUAUAUAUUUCUGGAGGAUAGUGUACUUUGUCCCAAAUGUUUUGCCAAUAGCAAUAUUCUCAUUUCAUUUAAGGUUUUUCUUAAAAUAUAUGUGGUUCCAAGGCUCUAAGUAUACAGUCUUAAAACAUUGCACGGUUAUUCAUAUACAGUAUUACCAUUGUCACAUUUAUACCUAUAAUGUGCAACAUGUUUAAAUGUUGUACAAGUUCAUCAACCAAGUUUGAGGCUCUGUAUUACAAAUGCAAACACAUUUCCUGUUUUGUUGCUUGAACUACUAUAUUCCAUUAAGUCCAGUUUAUGAAAUUAAAAGUAUUUCCAAUCGCGAUUAUUAACAUUAGUAAAUGAAAAGAAACCUUAGAAUUAAGAAUAAUGAUUCAAUAAACAUGUCAACAAUUGUUCUAAUAAGGGGUGGAUUCCUCCCAGGUAAAAAUCCCAGGUAAAACACUAUAAUAAUAUUUAGAGAAAAAUAAAACACUAUGGUGGACUAGAUUUUGUUAUAUUAAAUCAACUAUAUAUUUUUUAAUUACUAUUUUUAUUUUUAUUUUGCAACUACGCCAUUGUCAUUUUCUUUAAUAAUUUGCCUUUGCAGUAAUGUAAUUAUUGUAAUUUAUUUUUUGUAUACUAAGUAAAUCCAUGUAUUUAUUUGCUUGAAAAACCCUUUGUUAUUGUACAUACUCAUAGAAGAUUGUACAUCCUCCCGUGAUGCAUUGCCUUGCAGUGGAUUCAGUGAUCCACGACUACAGCUUGGUAAAAAUAAGCAUCACUGGUCUCUGUGAUAAAGACGGCAACAAUUCUUGCUGUAGUUUAGCCAGAUGGACCAAUUAGAGACCAAGCAGGCUCCAUCUAGUCCAUUUUCAUUUACCAGCAUUUAAUAUCUGGUUAUAGUUUGCAGAAUGCACCGCAGGGCAAUGCAUCAAAGGUUAUAGUAAAAUCUAAAAUGAGUAUGGUAACUAAUAUGGUUUAACAUUUCAAGCAGAACCUUGCUGUUUACCAUUUCUGCUAAGUUCUAGAAGACAGAUUCAAAAUAGAAUAUAUGGUCAAACCAGUCUGCAAAGUUUCAUGUCAUAUGUAGCUGCUGAAAAAUAAUUUAAGGUAAUUGUCUCGUGGCAACAAUGUGAAUCUUCUUCUAGACUGCUCAAGAAAAUCAAUUUUUGCAAGGAACAAAACUUGUACAAAUGAGUCUAUUCUUGCUGUAAUUGCUCCUGGCUAAGGUUGUGUAAUAUGUACUGUAGGUAGGAUAAUUGGUGCUAGCUCCUAACUGGGUAGCAAAUACGUUAUUUCACAGGAGGGAGCAUUUAGGGUCACCGAAUUCUUUCUUUACCUUUAAAUGGCAGUAAUUACAAUGUGUAUGUGACAACAAACUCCUUCUCUUCGCAUUAUGCAUACAGGUUAAUACAACUGACAGACAGCAACAUUACUUCUUAGUACAUUAAUGUUACAAAAGAACUUCAUUUCCUGCAGUGUGAUAAAAUCAGUUUAAAAGGCAAUUAAAAAAUAUGUUCAUGCCUGUUAUCUAACUGACAUACAUUGGGUGGAAUGAAUAGAGUUUUUCCGGAUCACUACACUACAUCAAAUUUAGAAUGUUUUAAUAUACAAAGUUACCAUGAACCAGCAUUUGAUUUGAGUGAAAUGUUAUGGCUUUUACUGUAUAUGUAUGGUUUAGUCUAUGGACUAAUUGCAAGCAGUGGGACACUAGUUUAGCUCUAUUAUUAGCAGCUCAAACAAAACAUAUUGUGAGCAACAAAUGCUAUACUGUAACUGCCCAUCAAUACAGGAUGGGCAUUGCCACAAUUUGGAGGUCACACAUAAUAAAUCCUUUUGUAGUCCAGCUACACCUCCCUUAUUGAGCUUGGUGAGAGUGUCUCAGCUCAAAAUUAUAAACUAUUUUUUUUUAAAGUUGUUGGCCAUAACAUAGACCAAACCUCCAUUUAAAUAAAUAAUAUUUGUUCUCCAUACAGAAGUGGAAAAUUUGACAAGGCAAUAUUUCCUGUGUUGGCUAAAGAAGGAAGAAAAUACCUUUAAAUAAUAUGCAUAAUUUAUUGCGAUGUUUACUUGACUAAGAUACCAAAAGGUAACAUCUGUCCUGAAGCAUUCUAAAAUUUACUUCUUAAAGUAUUUUUUUCCCAGCAGUAAACAACAUUCAGUUCAAAAUUAUGGAAAGUAUAAUCUUCAUUUCUAAGAUGAGAUGAGUAAAUGUUCAUUGACUCAGUAGUUUAUUUCUCUCCUCAUCCUCUCAAUUUGUUUUUAUGUCUUGAACAAAUAAAGCAUUUAUUCUGAUAUUUGAUAUACUCUAACACACACCAUAUACUGUAACUUUUACAUAAUAUUUACUGGUGCCCCUGGAAGUGCAUUGUACGCAAUGCAAACUAAAACUCACUUUGACAAAUGAAAAGCUACAGGAUAAAUGAUGGUAAGAUCUUCAACACAUUCAAACUAAUUUUUUAUCUUUCCAACAUCAACAUCUGAGUGUUCAAAACCGCAAAAAUUUGAUUAGAUUGUGACAGUGUCUGCAAGAGUGCGAAACCUCAACUGUCCCUUAAACGGCAUGAUAACUACUGAUGAGCAAAAUUGUCAAAAAUGUCCAACAAAUUACUGCCUUAUGCUUGCAUUUCACUAGCAGAAAUUGGCCUUAAAUGAAAUUUUGCUGGAAUUCUCCUCAUCUUUAGUCUGAAUUUUGCCUGUGUGGUGUGACUGUGCUUAGGGAAAUACAGCAAUACAGCUCAGUUGACUGUUUUUAUGGCAGAUAAUACCGAUUCAGUACAUGAUUUCAAAUUUUCACUUAUCUAAGAUGGAUGAAAAAUCCAAAACUCCACAAAAUUUCUCACUUCUAGAUACUUUGAUGUAUGCAUUGGAAAUUGUCAUCAGCUUAUCAAUAGAAUAUAUAAUAUUGUAUUUUGUGUAUUAUCAAUAUAUAUAUAUAUUAUCAAUCGUUUAUUAACAGUUUAUGGAUACACUGAACCCCCCCCCCCCCAGAUUUUAUGGUCUAGCUAUUAAGUUUCUGUUUGUUGCUUAGGAUUUAGAUUUAUGUUUUUCAAUUCAUCUUUUGAUAAACAUUACAGAAAGAAAAUAGCAAUUUCUGGGUACAAUACGCUCUAUAUUCAUUACAAAGCAGAUACUUGUGGUAGGUUCAUUUUUUUAAGUAAUGGAUGGUUUUUAUCAAAAGAUGUAUCCUCUGAAUUUCUGAAAUAUCUUUUCAUUUUCUUAAAGUUCUAAAAAUUAUUUUGGAUUCUUUAUUUUAUUCUCACCUUUACAAAUAGUUUCUAUCCAUUGAUAAUAAAAUGUACCAUACAGUAAAUGACAGUGUUGUUUCUCCCUUGUCCACUAUGAAGGAAAUACAAAGGAACAUGAAACUUGUCUUAGUAAAAUCACAAGUAUGAAGGCAAAUAUUAAACAAUGACUGCAACAACUGCUCACUGCUAAUGUACAAUAUGAGGCCUGGCCAAGAGGAAGCCAUUUUAAAUCACUAAACUGUUGUAGAUUUCUUGGUCCAUAACAAAACCAAAGAAAGCACCACAACUACAGUAAGAAUGGUACAAGUUGGCAAUAAAUUGUUGAUUUUAAUAUAAAUCUAUUCCAACUGAAUCACAUGAUAGUGUUAUGAUGAAGUCAUAAUACUGCAAAGAUGGCGGACAUGCAACUCAACAGCCCAUUAUAUUGGAUUCCCAUGCUAGUGAAGGAUUUCCCUGCAGAUUACAGACAUGCUACUGUGUAUCAUGAUAACUUUGUUAUUUAAAUGUAUUUUGUAAAAGGAUAUGUACAACCUGUUUAUGAUGCUACUCUAUGUAAAUACAAAACUCAAGGUAUUAAAAUCAAAUCUCUGACAAAAA